AUGGUGGUGGAGGGAGUAGUCGGGCUGAUGAAGGGGUUGAAGUUGACGGAGGAGGAGAAGAAGGGAGUCAAGGUUCGAAUCUCAUCCGUGAGUAAGGGCAAGGAGUCGGCUCCACAGGCUGUUGGCAAGGUAAUGUCAGAAAGAUUGGCGCACCGAGACGCGAUCUGCCUCUCUCUUGGCAAGGUAUGGUGCCCGAUUAAAGGGAUCGACUGCAGAGAGAUUGGGGCCAACCAGUUCCUAUUCACUUUCCACCAAGAGUCGGGGAAGCGUAAGGCGAUCGAGGAUGGACCAUGGAUGUUUGAUAAGGAGCUGGUAGUGGUUGAGGAUUAUGUGCCCAGUAAAAGGCCAGAAGACUACGCUCACAACAACAUCCCCAUCUGGGUUAGGGUUUAUAACCUACCCCUCGGUAUGAUGAACGAAGAAGCUGCAGAGGACAUAGGGAACACCAUAGGAGUGUAUGUGUAG
rnacentral:rRNA from 1 species